GUCGAGUGGGGACGGGUGAGUAAUGCCUAGGAAAUUGCCCUGAUGCGGGGGAUAACCAUUGGAAACGAUGGCUAAUACCGCAUGAUGCCUACGGGCCAAAGAGGGGGACCUUCGGGCCUCUCGCGUCAGGAUAUGCCUAGGUGGGAUUAGCUAGUUGGUGAGGUAAGGGCUCACCAAGGCGACGAUCCCUAGCUGGUCUGAGAGGAUGAUCAGCCACACUGGAACUGAGACACGGUCCAGACUCCUACGGGAGGCAGCAGUGGGGAAUAUUGCAUAAUGGGUGCAAGCCUGAGGCAGCCAUGCCGCGUGUGUGAAGAAGGCUUCGGGUUGUAAAGCACUUUCAGUCGUGAGG
rnacentral:rRNA from 1 species